rnacentral:lncRNA from 1 species
CCAACCGCCGCCGCCAACGGUGGAUCUGGAUCCGAGAUCUGUGUGGAUCUGUCGGUGUACGACGACCCCCAGAUCAUCAACGACCUGCGGGUGGACAACCUGACGGCCUUCCCCGGCGGCGGUGCGUACAUGCGGCACGGUGUAUGAGCGUGUGCGACCCAGAUCCUCACCCCGAGCGUGCUUGUGUCAAAGGACUGUUGACCAUAUACGGCUGUACCUCACGCAUACCCAAUCCAGUACGUACCCUCUCGCCUCCCCUCCCCCUCACGCCGCCUUCGCGCUCUGCGACCUUGCUGGGCCUUGGUUGAGUUGGGGUUGGAGUAAGCCACCUCCCCCCCGGCCACCCCCUCAGCCUCCACCCCCCCCCCACCACCACCCCAUCGCCCUCACACAGAGAUCUCCCCCAGCCGCCUGGCCCGACUCACCAUCCCGCUCACGGACGCCUCGGGCGCACCCGCCGGCCCCACCACCCUGGCCGCCCCCGCGCCGCUGCUGCGGGACGAUGCCGCGUACGGCAACUACAUCGAGUUCUGCGCCUUCAACCCCGAGUGAGUGUACGGCAACUUGACAGUACGGCACUUUUGCUGAGGAACAGAAUCUGCCCAAGGGCGCGGGGGUGCACGGUUUGGAUCGGGAGUGGGUACGUGCCUGGGGCACGGCACCUGUGCCCUCUACCAACGGUACAUACCGUAUAUGCACACCAGGCACAACCCUCCAGUUGGCACGUUCACG